rnacentral:rRNA from 1 species
AACGAACGCUGGCGGCAUGCCUAACACAUGCCAGUCGAACGAGACCUUCGGGUCUAGUGGCGCACGGGUGCGUAACGCGUGGGAACCUGCCCUUAGGUUCGGAAUAACUCCCCGAAAGGGGUGCUAAUACCGGAUAAUGUCUUCGGACCAAAGAUUUAUCGCCUUUGGAUGGGCCCGCGUUGGAUUAGCUAGUUGGUAGGGUAAAAGCCUACCAAGGCGACGAUCCAUAGCUGGUCUGAGAGGAUGAUCAGCCACACUGGGACUGAGACACGGCCCAGACCGCUACGGGGAGGAGGAGUUGGGGAUAUUGGGCAAUGGGCCGAAAGCUGGUCCAGCCAUGCCCGGGGGAGGGAGCAGGGCUUUGGGUUGUAAAGCUCUUUUUCCCGGGGUGAUAAUGACAGUAACGGGGAGAUAAGCACCGGCUAACUCCGUG